CCGUUAUCCGACCCAAAAGUAGAGAAGCAGGAGGGAAUCCGCGCAGGAGGUGGUUCAGGUCUAGAGAGAACCAAUGGGAAGCUGACAGCUGUGCAGGUUGUCGACUGCUCCUCCUGUCUUAUCCCAGUGUAACAUGGAGGUGCCUGACUGUCUUGUUGAGACGCUCGUCUGUUUGACUCCCAGGCGGAGGAGGGAUAUAACCUCUCCCUCAUAAAUCUCCUGGACCAUCAACCUGCUAAAAGCCUGGAAUAGCCAUCAGGGCGAUUGCAGCUUGAAUCUGGAAGAAGCAUCUUCUCUGCAUGCCAAGUCCUGGCCUGCAGCUGUUGACUCAUACUGGACGCAUUCAUGAUGCUGGUGAAAUACACUGAGUUAGGGACAGUACAUUCAUCACUUUUAAAUUAGAGCCAGUUCAGCUCUCACCAUUGACCAAAUCCUACUUUCUAUGCUGUAUUUGACCUCCUCUGCCUCGGUCUGAGCUAAGUUGCUGAAAUUACUAAGGAGAGUGAACUUGAACUGCUUCUGUUAAAAGAAUAGCACUUCAUACCAUCAGCUGACUGGAACCACCUGAAUUAUAUGCUGCCCUCUGGUGGAAUUAUCUUGACAUUACAAAUUCAUACAUGUUUCUGUUACUUGUGAGGACAUUGUACAAACUUACAACUACGUACAUUUAUAAAGUGCUGUACUUGAGUAUACUUUUGAGGUACUUGUGCUUUACUUGAGUAUGUCCAUUUUCAACUCAACACCAUAUCAGAGGGAGAUAUUGUACUUUCUACUCCACUACAUUCCUUUGACAGCUACACUCUCUCAAUGCAGUGGAUGUAAGUAAAAGAUGGAAUUACUUCUUUCACCGCUGCAUACUUACAUUAGUUCCCAGAGAUUUAACCUGACCUUAAAGCCCCUGUGUAGAGUUGUCUGUAAUUACAGGAUCUUGCAAAUUACUCUGAUGAUACACAUUUCUGUAGGUAGAAAUAGACAAUGCUUAAAUACUCUGCUCCUACCUCCUGGAAUAAUGUACAGCAGUCUCAGACUCUGAAAACCCCUUUUAUUGAAUUAAAUUUGGGACUGUUACUCAUAUAUUGCACUGGACUGUAACUAUACUUUAAUAAUUUUAAUUACCUUGUUUAAUGUCUCAUAUUCUAUAUACAUUUUUAAAAUCA